rnacentral:rRNA from 1 species
UGACACUGAACAUUGAGCCUUGAUGUGUAGGAUAGGUGGGAGGCUUUGAAGCGUGGACGCCAGUCUGCGUGGAGCCGACCUUGAAAUACCACCCUUUAAUGUUUGAUGUUCUAACGUGGACCCGUUACCCGGGUUGCGGACAGUGUCUGGUGGGUAGUUUGACUGGGGCGGUCUCCUCCUAAAGAGUAACGGAGGAGCACGAAGGUUGGCUAAUCCUGGUCGGACAUCAGGAGGUUAGUGCAAUGGCAUAAGCCAGCUUGACUGCGAGCGUGACGGCGCGAGCAGGUGCGAAAGCAGGUCAUAGUGAUCCGGUGGUUCUGAAUGGAAGGGCCAUCGCUCAACGGAUAAAAGGUACUCCGGGGAUAACAGGCUGAUACCGCCCAAGAGUUCAUAUCGACGGCGGUGUUUGGCACCUCGAUGUCGGCUCAUCACAUCCUGGGGCUGAAGUAGGUCCCAAGGGUAUGGCUGUUCGCCAUUUAAAGUGGUACGCGAGCUGGGUUUAGAACGUCGUGAGACAGUUCGGUCCCUAUCUGCCGUGGGCGCUGGAGAACUGAGGGGGGCUGCUCCUAGUACGAGAGGACCGGAGUGGACGCAUCACUGGUGUUCGGGUUGUCAUGCCAAUGGCACUGCCCGGUAGCUAAAUGCGGAAGAGAUAAGUGCUGAAAGCAUCUAAGCACGAAACUUGCCCCGA